rnacentral:rRNA from 1 species
AAGACCUUGCGCUUUUGGAGCGGCCGAUGCCUGAUUAGCUUGUUGGUGGGGUAAUGGCUUACCAAGGCGACGAUCAGUAGUUGGUCUGAGAGGACGACCAGCCACACUGGGACUGAGACACGGCCCAGACUCCUACGGGAGGCAGCAGUGGGGAAUUUUGGACAAUGGGCGAAAGCCUGAUCCAGCAAUGCCGCGUGAGUGAAGAAGGCCUUCGGGUUGUAAAGCUCUUUCAGUCGAGAAGAAAAGAUUGUGACUAAUAAUCACAAUUCAUGACGGUAUCGACAGAAGAAGCACCGGCUAACUACGUGCCAGCAGCCGCGGUAAUACGUAGGGUGCAAGCGUUAAUCGGAAUUACUGGGCGUAAAGGGUGCGCAGGCGGCUUUGUAAGUCAGAUGUGAAAUCCCCGGGUUUAACCUGGGAAUU